rnacentral:rRNA from 1 species
GGGUUGUGAGGUUAAGCGACUAAGCGUACACGGUGGAUGCCCUGGCAGUCAGAGGCGAUGAAGGACGUGCUAAUCUGCGAUAAGCGUCGGUAAGGUGAUAUGAACCGUUAUAACCGGCGAUUUCCGAAUGGGGAAACCCAGUGUGAUUCGUCACACUAUCAUUAACUGAAUCCAUAGGUUAAUGAGGCGAACCGGGGGAACUGAAACAUCUAAGUACCCCGAGGAAAAGAAAUCAACCGAGAUUCCCCCAGUAGCGGCGAGCGAACGGGGAGCAGCCCAGAGCCUGAAUCAGUGUGUGUGUUAGUGGAAGCGUCUGGAAAGGCGCGCGAUACAGGGUGACAGCCCCGUACACAAAAAUGCACAUGCUGUGAGCUCGAUGAGUAGGGCGGGACACGUGGUAUCCUGUCUGAAUAUGGGGGGACCAUCCUCCAAGGCUAAAUACUCCUGACUGACCGAUAGUGAACCAGUACCGUGAGGGAAAGGCGAAAAGAACCCCGGCGAGGGGAGUGAAAAAGAACCUGAAACCGUGUACGUACAAGCAGUGGGAGCACGCUUAGGCGUGUGACUGCGUACCUUUUGUAUAAUGGGUCAGCGACUUAUAUUCUGUAGCAAGGUUAACCGAAUAGGGGAGCCGAAGGGAAACCGAGUCUUAACUGGGCGUUAAGUUGCAGGGUAUAGACCCGAAACCCGGUGAUCUAGCCAUGGGCAGGUUGAAGGUUGGGUAACACUAACUGGAGGACCGAACCGACUAAUGUUGAAAAAUUAGCGGAUGACUUGUGGCUGGGGGUGAAAGGCCAAUCAAACCGGGAGAUAGCUGGUUCUCCCCGAAAGCUAUUUAGGUAGCGCCUCGUGAAUUCAUCUCCGGGGGUAGAGCACUGUUUCGGCAAGGGGGUCAUCCCGACUUACCAACCCGAUGCAAACUGCGAAUACCGGAGAAUGUUAUCACGGGAGACACACGGCGGGUGCUAACGUCCGUCGUGAAGAGGGAAACAACCCAGACCGCCAGCUAAGGUCCCAAAGUCAUGGUUAAGUGGGAAACGAUGUGGGAAGGCCCAGACAGCCAGGAUGUUGGCUUAGAAGCAGCCAUCAUUUAAAGAAAGCGUAAUAGCUCACUGGUCGAGUCGGCCUGCGCGGAAGAUGUAACGGGGCUAAACCAUGCACCGAAGCUGCGGCAGCGACGCUUAUGCGUUGUUGGGUAGGGGAGCGUUCUGUAAGCCUGUGAAGGUGUACUGUGAGGUAUGCUGGAGGUAUCAGAAGUGCGAAUGCUGACAUAAGUAACGAUAAAGCGGGUGAAAAGCCCGCUCGCCGGAAGACCAAGGGUUCCUGUCCAACGUUAAUCGGGGCAGGGUGAGUCGACCCCUAAGGCGAGGCCGAAAGGCGUAGUCGAUGGGAAACAGGUUAAUAUUCCUGUACUUGGUGUUACUGCGAAGGGGGGACGGAGAAGGCUAUGUUGGCCGGGCGACGGUUGUCCCGGUUUAAGCGUGUAGGCUGGUUUUCCAGGCAAAUCCGGAAAAUCAAGGCUGAGGCGUGAUGACGAGGCACUACGGUGCUGAAGCAACAAAUGCCCUGCUUCCAGGAAAAGCCUCUAAGCAUCAGGUAACAUCAAAUCGUACCCCAAACCGACACAGGUGGUCAGGUAGAGAAUACCAAGGCGCUUGAGAGAACUCGGGUGAAGGAACUAGGCAAAAUGGUGCCGUAACUUCGGGAGAAGGCACGCUGAUAUGUAGGUGAAGCGACUUGCUCGUGGAGCUGAAAUCAGUCGAAGAUACCAGCUGGCUGCAACUGUUUAUUAAAAACACAGCACUGUGCAAACACGAAAGUGGACGUAUACGGUGUGACGCCUGCCCGGUGCCGGAAGGUUAAUUGAUGGGGUUAGCGCAAGCGAAGCUCUUGAUCGAAGCCCCGGUAAACGGCGGCCGUAACUAUAACGGUCCUAAGGUAGCGAAAUUCCUUGUCGGGUAAGUUCCGACCUGCACGAAUGGCGUAAUGAUGGCCAGGCUGUCUCCACCCGAGACUCAGUGAAAUUGAACUCGCUGUGAAGAUGCAGUGUACCCGCGGCAAGACGGAAAGACCCCGUGAACCUUUACUAUAGCUUGACACUGAACAUUGAGCCUUGAUGUGUAGGAUAGGUGGGAGGCUUUGAAGUGUGGACGCCAGUCUGCAUGGAGCCGACCUUGAAAUACCACCCUUUAAUGUUUGAUGUUCUAACGUUGACCCGUAAUCCGGGUUGCGGACAGUGUCUGGUGGGUAGUUUGACUGGGGCGGUCUCCUCCUAAAGAGUAACGGAGGAGCACGAAGGUUGGCUAAUCCUGGUCGGACAUCAGGAGGUUAGUGCAAUGGCAUAAGCCAGCUUGACUGCGAGCGUGACGGCGCGAGCAGGUGCGAAAGCAGGUCAUAGUGAUCCGGUGGUUCUGAAUGGAAGGGCCAUCGCUCAACGGAUAAAAGGUACUCCGGGGAUAACAGGCUGAUACCGCCCAAGAGUUCAUAUCGACGGCGGUGUUUGGCACCUCGAUGUCGGCUCAUCACAUCCUGGGGCUGAAGUAGGUCCCAAGGGUAUGGCUGUUCGCCAUUUAAAGUGGUACGCGAGCUGGGUUUAGAACGUCGUGAGACAGUUCGGUCCCUAUCUGCCGUGGGCGCUGGAGAACUGAGGGGGGCUGCUCCUAGUACGAGAGGACCGGAGUGGACGCAUCACUGGUGUUCGGGUUGUCAUGCCAAUGGCACUGCCCGGUAGCUAAAUGCGGAAGAGAUAAGUGCUGAAAGCAUCUAAGCACGAAACUUGCCCCGAGAUGAGUUCUCCCUGACUCCUUGAGAGUCCUGAAGGAACGUUGAAGACGACGACGUUGAUAGGCCGGGUGUGUAAGCGCAGCGAUGCGUUGAGCUAACCGGUACUAAUGAACCGUGAGGCUUAACCUUACAACGCCGAAGGUGUUU